UACGUAGGGUGCAAGCGUUGUCCGGAAUUAUUGGGCGUAAAAGGAGCUCGUAGGCGGUUCGUCGCGUCGGCUGUGAAAACCUGAGGCUCAACCUCAGGCCUGCAGUCGAUACGGGCGGACUUGAGUACUGCAGGGGAGACUGGAAUUCCUGGUGUAGCGGUGAAAUGCGCAGAUAUCAGGAGGAACACCGGUGGCGAAGGCGGGUCUCUGGGCAGUAACUGACGCUGAGGAGCGAAAGCGUGGGUAGCAAACAGG
rnacentral:rRNA from 1 species